UACGGAGGGUGCAAGCGUUAUCCGGAUUCACUGGGUUUAAAGCGUGCGCAGGCGGUUUUGUAAGCCAGAUGUGAAAUCCCCGGGCUUAACCUGGGAAUGGCAUUUGGGACUGCAAGGCUUGAGUGCGGCAGAGGAGACUGGAAUUCCUGGUGUAGCAGUGAAAUGCGUAGAUAUCAGGAGGAACACCGAUGGCGAAGGCAGGUCUCUGGGCUGACACUGACGCUCAUGCACGAAAGCGUGGGGAGCAAACAGG
rnacentral:rRNA from 1 species